rnacentral:misc_RNA from 1 species
AGGGAUCAUUACCGAGUUUACAACUCCCAAACCCCUGUGAACAUACCAUUUGUUGCCUCGGCGGUGCCUGCUUCGGCAGCCCGCCAGAGGACCCAAACCCUUGAUUUUAUACAGUAUCUUCUGAGUAAAUGAUUAAAUAAAUCAAAACUUUCAACAACGGAUCUCUUGGUUCUG